rnacentral:rRNA from 1 species
AUGGACACGUGCAUACAUAUCUGGUUAGAUACCUUUGGGAAAGAAAAUAAAAAGAAAAUCUUUGUCGGGGUAGCAGCGCUAAUCUGGAGCAUUUGGAAAGCUAGAAACUCAGCGUGUUUCCAGCAUGUUUGGCCUAAUGAUCCUAGUAUCUUGAUGUUUAGAAUGUCGCAUUGGAUUAAUGAUUGGAGUUGCUUGCAGGUGAAGGAGGACGCAAAAGUGGAACUGCAACGGGGCGCAAAGCUGCUGGAUCGAGUCGCCAGUGAAAUAUUUCAGUCAAGACGAGGAUGGGCGACUUGGGUGCCAAGACUGGAGAAUGGUUGA